AGAGAACUGAAAAUGAAGAAUGAAAACAUUCUCUCGCAUGUAUUGAAAUGGUCUUCACACUCUAUAUAUACAUAGAAGAUUGAAAAUAUCUAGAAUCUAAUUGGAAAAUAUCUAGUAUAGCUAAGCUAUCUAAUUUCCGCCGAAGUAACUAAUUAACUUCCUCAUGAAUCCUUUCGGCUUUGGCCUUUUUUCGAUCUCUCUCGGAUCCCUCUCAUUCUCUGAUGAUGUUGGUGCUACGCACCGUUUCAUUUAACUUUCCUUUACUCACAGUUUUUAUUAAUCAUCUUCAUCUCUUCUCCAGCGGGGCUUCGACUUUCUUUUCUCUUUAUAAAUACUAGUUAUCUUCAGCUGAUCAUCGACUGUCAGUGGACUUCCGAUUUUAUCAAUAAUUCACCAUAUUUAUUAUUAAUAUCAAUGAUAUUUGCUGAAAUUAAUAAAAUUAAAUGAAUUGCACAAAAAAUUUAUACUUACUUGGG
rnacentral:misc_RNA from 1 species